GCCGCCAUCGUAUAGUGGUUAGUACACCAGGUUUUCAUCCUGGUAACCCGGGUCCGAUUCCCGGUGGCGGUA
rnacentral:tRNA from 1 species